AGUGAACGCUGGCGGUAGGCCUAACACAUGCAAGUCGAACGGCAGCACAGUAAGAGCUUGCUCUUACGGGUGGCGAGUGGCGGACGGGUGAGGAAUACAUCGGAAUCUACUUUUUCGUGGGGGAUAACGUAGGGAAACUUACGCUAAUACCGCAUACGACCUACGGGUGAAAGCAGGUGAUCUUCGGACCUUGCGCGAUUGAAUGAGCCGAGGUCGGAUUAGCUAGUUGGCGGGGUAAAGGCCCACCAAGGCGACGAUCCGUAGCUGGUCUGAGAGGAUGAUCAGCCACACUGGAACUGAGACACGGUCCAGACUCCUACGGGAGGCAGCAGUGGGGAAUAUUGGACAAUGGGCGCAAGCCUGAUCCAGCCAUACCGCGUGGGUGAAGAAGGCCUUCGGGUUGUAAAGCCCUUUUGUUGGGAAAGAAAGGCAGCAGGUUAAUACCCCGCUGUUCUGACGGUACCCAAAGAAUAAGCACCGGCUAACUUCGUG
rnacentral:rRNA from 1 species